UAAAAAGAACAGACCAAUAGUAUCAAACCUCCGCCGUAAGAAACGAAUCGUUUUAUGCUUGAACAACGCUGGGAAAUAUUGAAAAAUUAUUUCCAAAGUGAGUGUUGUGUUGCAGAAACCGUGCGAAAUUUGAAAAGAAUUUUUGGUCGAAAUAAAGCCCCUUCAGCGGCUGGUGUAAGGAAAUUCAUAAAGAAAGUUCGUGAAGCUGGCAUGCUUGUGGAUAACAAAGCUAUCCGCGUGCUCGUCCGGUGCGCACAGACGAAAGAAUUGUUGUUGUUGCCCAAAGUGUGCGUGAAAACCCGAGAAUCUCAACUCGUCACAGAGCUCAACAACUGAACACCAGUCGCACUUCUCUGAGGAGAAUAUUGCAUAAAGACCUGGGAUUAUUUGCUUCAGCCAGCGGCACACAUUUUCAUCCAUCUUCGGAAAUGAAAUCAGAACGCAGUAUUUUCAUCCAGCAAACAAUCCAGCACGAAAACAAGCACCGUGUGCCGCUGGCUUUACAAGGUGCAACUCACUCAAGAGUUGAAACAAAAUGACCAUCCGCUUCGUUAUCGUGUCGUCUUGCUUUAUCAAUAUUCCAAUUGGUCAAGAAGGCUUUGUGCCUCCAUCGAAUCAACCAGAGACCUGGUCACGUGAUCAGUUCGCCACUCCCUUCUUAUGAGACUCUUUAGGCUGCACAUGUGCAGUUCAUUUUUGGCUACGCGAAAUUUGGGGAGUGUCGCUCUACUGUGUAUAUUGUGACUUGGGGUGUCGAUUGUUCCAACUUUUAGUUAAGUUAAAUGACAGUUAAAUCAUAUGUUUGUCUUCGUUUAAAUUGAAGGAAAAACAAAGAUAAACAUUUGACUUAACCAUCAGUUAACUUACCAAGAAAUUGAGACACUUAACCGACCCUUAAUGCUAUAUAACACGACCAUGCAAUUAUCAAUUUCAUUACGUGCAAAAUGAUUUGCGGAAAAAAAAGAAAAAAAUAAAACAAAGGAAAGUGAGCUCAAAGUUAAGUGAGAAUACGUUCGGGCAUAAGUUUACCGACCGAUUGUCCAUACUUAAGGAGGAGCAGAAAGAGGAAAA